UGUUGCUAGUGAUGGGUAUUAGGCUUGCUCAGUUGGUCAGAUUCGAAAGGAAGCAGCCAAAGUGAUUUUUGAUAGGUCAUUGCUAGCAUUGUUA
rnacentral:SRP_RNA from 1 species